CGACCGCUGGCGGCGUGCUUAACACAUGCAAGUCGAGCGGUAAGGCCUUUCGGGGUACCCGCGCGGCGAACGGGUGUGUAACACGUGGGUGAUCUGCCCUGCACUUCGGGAUAAGCCUGGGAAACUGGGUCUAAUACCGGAUAUGACCUCCUAUCGCAUGGUGGGUGGUGGAAAGAUUUAUCGGUGCAGGAUGGGCCCGCGGCCUAUCAGCUUGUUGGUGGGGUAAUGGCCUACCAAGGCGACGACGGGUAGCCGACCUGAGAGGGUGACCGGCCACACUGGGACUGAGACACGGCCCAGACUCCUACGGGAGGCAGCAGUGGGGAAUAUUGCACAAUGGGCGAAAGCCUGAUGCAGCGACGCCGCGUGAGGGAUGACGGCCUUCGGGUUGUAAACCUCUUUCAGCAGGGACGAAGCGCAAGUGACGGUACCUGCAGAAGAAGCACCGGCUAACUACGUG
rnacentral:rRNA from 1 species